rnacentral:rRNA from 1 species
AUGAACGCUGGCGGCGUGCCUAAUACAUGCAAGUCGAGCGAACAGACGAGGAGCUUGCUCCUCUGACGUUAGCGGCGGACGGGUGAGUAACACGUGGAUAACCUACCUAUAAGACUGGGAUAACUUCGGGAAACCGGAGCUAAUACCGGAUAAUAUAUUGAACCGCAUGGUUCAAUAGUUAAAGACGGUUUUGCUGUCACUUAUAGAUGGAUCCGCGCCGCAUUAGCUAGUUGGUAAGGUAACGGCUUACCAAGGCAACGAUGCGUAGACGACCUGAGAGGGUGAUCGGCCACACUGGAACUGAGACACGGUCCAGACGCCUACGGGAGGCAGCAGUAGGGAAUCUUCCGAAAUGGGCGAAAGCCUGACGGAGCAACGCCGCGUGAGUGAUGAAGGUCUUCGGAUCGUAAAACUCUGUUAUUAGGGAAGAACAAAUGUGUAAGUAACUAUGCACGUAUUGACGGUACCUAAUCAGAAAGCCACGGCUAACUACGUG